CCUACGGGCGGCAGCAGUGAGGAAUAUUGGUCAAUGGGCGCGAGCCUGAACCAGCCAAGUAGCGUGAAGGAUGACUGCCCUACGGGUUGUAAACUUCUUUUAUCAAGGAAUAAAGUGAGGCACGUGUGCCUUUUUGCAUGUACUUGAUGAAUAAGGAUCGGCUAACUCCGUGCCAGCAGCCGCGGUAAUACGGAGGAUCCGAGCGUUAUCCGGAGUUAUUGGGUUUAAAGGGAGCGCAGAUGGGAUGUUAAGUCAGCGGUAAAAGUUUGGGGCUCAACCCCGAAGUGCCGUUGAAUCUGGCGGUCUUGAGUGGGCGAGAAGUAUGCGGAAUGAGUGGUGUAGCGGUGAAAUGAAUAGAUAUCACGAAGAACUCCGAUUGCGAAGGCAGCAUACCGGCGCUCAACUGACGCUGAUGCACGAAAGUGUGGGUAUCGAACAGGAUUAGAUACCCGAGUAGUC
rnacentral:rRNA from 1 species